AUGUCAUAUAGGUAUUUUGUUCAUUCAGACAUUUAUUUGAAAUAUAUUCUUACGCACAUUCUCCCCGAACCUACUUUCCUUGGCCACCAUAGUUUCCGGAGACACUGUGACAUUGAAAUCCUGCACAUCAGCCUACAGUCAUGUCGGGGGACUUUGUUGAUGAGAGAGUAGCCAACUACAAGGGACUGCAGUUCUACUUCAACUCCUACACAAAGAGAGGCAGGCUAAACUGGGUCAUGGCUACAUACGGAACCCUCUUCGGCUAUUAUUUAUUCAGCAAGUUACGAAAACCCAAGGCACCAGUUGCAGCCAAGAAAUAACCAUUUAGCCAUUUAGGAUGAAUAUUUGUGUACAUGAAUUGUGCAGUGAUAUGUUGACACGCUGAUGAAGAGACUCCCAUUUGAGAUCAAGUCUUUGUGAACAUGGCUGUAGUUUUUGGUGUCUCAUGUUUAUUAAUUGGAGGUCAAACCAUCUUGUUCAUCAGCGUUGUUACAUUAUUUACAGUUGUAUGAAUAAAUUAAAAUCAAUUUGA